rnacentral:rRNA from 1 species
AUUGAACGCUGGCGGCAUGCCUUACACAUGCAAGUCGAACGGCAGCACGGGAGCAAUCCUGGUGGCGAGUGGCGAACGGGUGAGUAAUAUAUCGGAACGUGCCCAGUCGUGGGGGAUAACGCAGCGAAAUCUGUGCUAAUACCGCAUACGAUCUACGGAUGAAAGCGGGGGAUCGCAAGACCUAGCGCGAUUGGAGCGGCCGAUAGCCGAGUAGCUAGUUGGUGAGGUAAAGGCUCACCAAGGCGACGAUCUGUAGCUGGUCUGAGAGGACGACCAGCCACACUGGAACUGAGACACGGUCCAGACUCCUACGGGAGGCAGCAGUGGGGAAUUUUGGACAGUGGGCGCAAGCCUGAUCCAGCAAUGCCGCGUGCAGGAUGAAGGCCUUCGGGUUGUAAACUGCUUUUGUACGGAGCGAAACGGUCUUUCCUAAUACGAGAGGCUAAUGACGGUACCGUAAGAAUAAGCACCGGCUAACUACGUGCCAGCAGCCGCGGUAAAAC